AGUGAACGCUGGCGGUAGGCCUAACACAUGCAAGUCGAACGGCAGCACAGUAAGAGCUUGCUCUUACGGGUGGCGAGUGGCGGACGGGUGAGGAAUACAUCGGAAUCUACUUUUUCGUGGGGGAUAACGUAGGGAAACUUACGCUAAUACCGCAUACGACCUACGGGUGAAAGCAGGGGAUCUUCGGACCUUGCGCGAUUGAAUGAGCCGAUGUCGGAUUAGCUAGUUGGCGGGGUAAAGGCCCACCAAGGCGACGAUCCGUAGCUGGUCUGAGAGGAUGAUCAGCCACACUGGAACUGAGACACGGUCCAGACUCCUACGGGAGGCAGCAGUGGGGAAUAUUGGACAAUGGGCGAAAGCCUGAUCCAGCCAUACCGCGUGGGUGAAGAAGGCCUUCGGGUUGUAAAGCCCUUUUGUUGGGAAAGAAAAGCAGCAGGUUAAUACCCCGCUGUUCUGACGGUACCCAAAGAAUAAGCACCGGCUAACUUCGG
rnacentral:rRNA from 1 species